UGCCCACUGGUCCGGGGCAGCCAGAGCUAUUGCUUGUUUUGUUCCCUUCUUCAUUCUUCUUUCUUUGUUGUUCCGCCCUCUGGUCCGGGGCAGCCAGCAUUGGGUUGAGUGUCUGUGUGGAUGUGUGUAUGUGCGUGUGUGGUUGUGCGCAGCAGUCAGUUAUCUCGGCAGUGGAAAUGGCAGGAAUCCACCACCUUCCAGAGGUUGUUGUUGUCUUCUCUCUUCCUCUCAGGGAGAUCACUGGCACCAGUUCGGGGUCUAUAGGAGAAGGAGAAACAGAAAUUGCGCAGCAGAGAUGCUAACGCUCAUAGUUUUGAACAGCGGCGCCUUGGUCGGACGCGUUUUUGGCAGUCGGUCGCAUGAGUCUUCUACUCUUUUAAACAAUUUGCAGCUGUCCAUUUCCAUGUCGCCAGUUGGUCGGUUCGGGAAGAUAUUUGUCAGUGUUCUCAUUCCGUAACGGCCAAUUGUCGCGCUCGCAUAUGCCUCUGUGUUUUUUUUUCCGUGCGUGUGUGUUUUCUGUGUACGAAUGUGGCAGCCAUGGUUGUUGCAUUCUUAGGGGCUGAACGGGACUUUGCUGGCGCUUUUGAGUAGAUUCAGCAGCGGCGGCCGCAUGCUGGAUCCGCUCCUGAGUCAGCAGGGUGAUGAGAUAGUCCAGUUUCUGGCUGAGCUCAUCGCUAGGACGGACACUCUGACUGCUCGCCACGGGCUGGAAUCCAGUUGUGGUCGCUGCUGGCGGCACCGAAUGCCAUACUUGCCUCCCAGGAAGAGGCUGGGAAUGUCUCGCUGGUUGCCGUGUGCGGAGUGCAUCGGCAUAACUGCUCAUUUGAACUGGAGGAGCAGGAGCUCUUGCGCCAGAGCGCGCUCGCCGGCGGCUAGGUUGCUGCAGUGCUGGAAAUCCCUGCUGGUUCAUGACGGGUGGCUGGCGGGGACGCCGCAAACCCUGAGUGGCGGGUAAGUACUCCUUAUACUUCACACAGCCACGGUAGCUGGCAACAUGGGGACCAUCACAAUUUGCGCAUUUCGGCACCUCCUCCCGCUUCUUGGGGCAGUCCUUAGGGUCGUGCUUAUCGCCGCACUUCAAACAAAUAACUGCACGGUUGCAGUAAUUCUUCGAGUGCCCAAACAUCUGACACUUAUGGCACUGAGGAACACCUGGCGCACGUAUGGGCUUCUCCACCUUGACCCGUUGGCUGCAGAUUGCCGUUAGUUCAUAGAUGUUAUUGUUAAUAUCCUGAGGCUCUAGCUCAACCUCGAAUAGGUCCAGUGGCUCCUUUGUAAACCUUUUAAAGAUAUUGGCAAUAUGCCUCACUUUAUAUCCGAGUCUUCCGAGCUGUUCACGCACCCAAUCUGUGGGUGUGGAGCGGUGCAGGUGGCGUAUAACAAUACGCAUUCCCCUCUCGCUUUUCAGGCGAAACGUUUUUGUUGUGUCGUAUGCAGCGGUGGCGAUACGUAACUAACAUAACGCAACGUAACCCAGCUCGAGCCUUGGCCUGAUCCAGCAGGUUAGGGGAGCCAGAGUUACGUUGCGCUAUGGGGACUUUAUUGUACCUAUACUAUAACAGCAUUUUUAGUACAAAUUGUUGGGGCUGUAGCUUAUAAAUAUAUGUAAAUAGCUGUCUACGAGCUGCUGUUAGCAGCCGUAGGCAGCAAAUACGAUGCUUUGAACAGCACGAAAUCUCCUCUGCCGGCAGUGCUGCCGGCGCAAUCAUCAUUGGGGGAAAUCUCUCCACUUUGGCAACAGUCCGUUAGCCAGAGCGGGGAGAGGGAGUGGGCAGAGCCAAAGCAUAAAAUACUCUAGACUUUAAAUUAAGUUUAAGUUUACAUUAUCGACUAAGGGGAAACAUUUUGGCAGAAAAGGGAGAUUAUAUAUGUAUGUUUUCUAUUCUAA